UACGUAGGGGGCUAGCGUUGUCCGGAAUCAUUGGGCGUAAAGCGCGCGUAGGCGGCCCGGUAAGUCCGCUGUGAAAGUCAAAGGCUCAACCUUUGAAUGUCAGCGGAUACUGCCGGGCUAGAGUCCGGAAGAGGCGAGUGGAACUCCUGGUGUAGCGGUGAAAUGCGCAGAUAUCAGGAGGAACACCAAUGGCGAAGGCAGCUCGCUGGAACGGUACUGACGCUGAGGCGCGAAAGCGUGGGGAGCGAACAGG
rnacentral:rRNA from 1 species